rnacentral:rRNA from 1 species
GGGUCAGUAGGUUGGUCGUGCCACCGGUACGUACUGGUCUCACUGAUUCCUCCUUCCUGAAGAACCGUAAUGCCAUUAAUUUGGUGUUGCGGGGAAACAGGACUGUUACUUUGAAUAAAUUAGAGUGUUUAAAGCAAGCUAACGCUUGAAUACAUUAGCAUGGAAUAAUGAAAUAGGACGAUCGAUCCCAUUUUGUUGGUUUCUAGGAUUGACGUA